UGUCUAGCUUGCUAGAUGAUGUCGAGUGGCGGACGGGUGAGUAAUGCCUGGGAAUUUGCCUUUGUGUGGGGGAUAACUAUUGGAAACGAUAGCUAAUACCGCAUAAUACCUACGGGUCAAAGGGGGCUUCGGCUCCCGCGCAAAGAGAAGCCCAGGUGAGAUUAGCUUGUUGGUGAGGUAAAGGCUCACCAAGGCGACGAUCUCUAGCUGUUCUGAGAGGAAGAUCAGCCACACUGGAACUGAGACACGGUCCAGACUCCUACGGGAGGCAGCAGUGGGGAAUAUUGCACAAUGGAGGAAACUCUGAUGCAGCCAUGCCGCGUGUGUGAAGAAGGCCUUCGGGUUGUAAAGCACUUUCAGUUGUGAGGAAAGGUUAGUAGUUAAUACCUGCUAGCUGUGACGUUAACAACAGAAGAAGCACCGGCUAACUCCGUGCCAGCAGCCGCGGUAAUACGGAGGGUGCAAGCGUUAAUCGGAAUUACUGGGCGUAAAGCGCACGCAGGCGGUCUGUUAAGCUAGAUGUGAAAGCCCCGCGCUCAACGUGGGAUGGUCAUUUAGAACUGGCAGACUAGAGUUUUGGAGAGGAGAGUGGAAUUCCAGGUGUAGCGGUGAAAUGCGUAGAUAUCUGGAGGAACAUCAGUGGCGAAGGCGACUCUCUGGUCAAUAACUGACGCUCAUGUGCGAAAGUGUGGGUAGCGAACGGGAUUAGAUACCCCGGUAGUCCACACCGUAAACGCUGUCUACUAACUGUUUGUGGAUUUAAUCCGUGAGUAGUGAAGCUAACGCGAUAAGUAGACCGCCUGGGGAGUACGGCCGCAAGGUUAAAACUCAAAUGAAUUGACGGGGGCCCGCACAAGCGGUGGAGCAUGUGGUUUAAUUCGAUGCACGCGAAGACCUUACCUACUCUUGACAUACUAGAAACUUUUCAGAGAUGAAUUGGUGCCUUC
rnacentral:rRNA from 1 species